rnacentral:ribozyme from 1 species
GUUUUAUUUUAUUCAAUUCUUCCUUCUUCUGUGUUCUCUUCUUGUCAGUGUUGGCGUCGGAAAUUGAAGGAUGCGCAAUCGAUCAGAAGUAAACCUUGCUCACGCUCUGCAUUUCAAUUUUGUUUUUCCUAUUUCUUCUUUUGUAAAAACAACAACAACAAAAA